rnacentral:lncRNA from 1 species
CCAGCACGGUUUCUGGACUUGUGCACGGGUGGGGGUUGCCGGUAGUCCUUCUAUUUAGAGUCAGGACAGAAAGCUCUUCUGUGGCCCAGAAAUCUUUGAAACUGUAUUUGGAUCUCUCCCAGCUGGUGGCCACUGUGAAUUGUAAUUUGAAAGGAAUCAACCAGAAGCACUUUCUUUCCGUUGCUAGCUGGGGAACUACCCCAGGACCUGCGCAUUAUUCUCUGGAGAGCCCGAGUGGGGUUGCGAUGUUAUGCAAAUCGAGCUUAAAAGACACCAAGCGAAGAGGAAAUCGAAAUCAACAGAGUAAACUCGUAUGAAAUCUGGAACAUUCACCACACCAGGAUCUUAAAAUCUGGGGUUUUAAGGAUGCAUAGGAGCCAAGAUGUCAGAAUGUGACCAGAAGUUGGAAAAAAAAGAUGCCCACAUCAAAUAAGUACUGAAAAGAUGAGGAAAAAGAAGUUGAUUUCCAGGAAAGAAAAACGAAUAAUCUGGGGAGCUGAAGAGAUAACUUAUUGGUUAAGAGCGUGUGUUGCUUUUCUGGAGAACUCAGGUUUAAUCUCUAGCACCUACAUGGUAGCUCACAAGCAUCUAUAACUACAAUCCGAGAAUAUCUAAUUCCCUCUCCUAGCCUCUGCAGGCAAUGAAUGCACACGCCACCCAUUAAUGCAGGUAAAACACCCACACAAAAUGAAUAAGAAAAAGAAAAAGAUUUUUGUGAUGACUCACCAGAUGGAAGUCAAAUUUCACUUAAAAAUGCAAGUAUAGAUGCACACCUAAAUGGCACAGGGUUUAAAGACAAGUGACCCCGGGAGUUUGGAAUCGAGUUGUAGGUUUGUAACCCAGAGUCAUCUGGCAGGAGCAAAUGAUAAUCACCUCUGGAAGUGAAUUUGACUUCUCUAGGUUCCUGUAGAUGAAGAUUAGCCAGUGCUUAGAAGUCAGAGGCAACAGGGUUGCCUCAAGUUUGAGACUAGCCAGGCCAGUCAUAGCUACAGAGCAACAGUCUGUUACAAACAACAACAACAAAACCCAAACACACACUCACACGCACACGCGCGCGCGCGCACACACACACACACACACACACACACACACCAAAACAAAUAAAAUGGCAAAACACCUAAAUGUAUUUCUUUUUUAAGUUCCAUAAGAUUUAAAAAAUUCACUGGGCAAGUUAAUGCAGGAUUUUGAUCCCAGCACUUGGAAGAGAGAGGCAGGCAGAUCUCUUUGAGCUCCAAGCCUAGCUUACAAAGUGAUCCCUGCCCCUGGCCAGCUAGGACUGCAUAGUAAGACCUUACAAUACCCCCCCCCCCCCCCCGCCUUUAAAAAAUGCAAAGCUAAGCAUGGUGAUAUCUGCUUGCAAUCCCAGCACUUGGGAGGCUGAGACAGGAGGAUCACCACUAAUUUGAGGCCAGACUGGGCUACAUAGAGGAUACCAAGAUAACUUCAGCUACAAGAGUGAGCCGAUUUCAACAAAGAAACAAAAUAGACAAAAAACUAACCAAGCUAAACAAUGUAUUCUAGGCUGAAUUUAAAGUUUCCCAGCCUUCUGCCUUAACCUUUCAAGUACUGGGG